AGCAUGACGUCAUUUCCCGUCGACAUUACGUAAUUCCCUGAAAUAACGCCAUUGCCGGAGUAAAAUAUAUAGUGGCGAGAUGAUAUCGCGAUUAAUUGAUCUGGAGAAAGCGAGAUCCGUUUUUCUGGGACCUCACAAGGAGACAAAGUUUGGUGACGUGUCGACUUCAGGAGCAGUGGACCACUGUUCUGUCGGCGUCGCCUUUCCAAAACAUACGCUAAUAACGACAAAACACUACUUUUUCGGUGCAUAAAAUAUCGAUUAUACCCUUCGCUCUUCAUUUUAUUUACUGGUUUAUGCCAUUGUUGUUUAGACUAAAAACGUCGACGACGAACGACGCAGUUACU